rnacentral:lncRNA from 1 species
CCAAACUUAACUAAAUUCAAAAUACAAGUCCACAUUUCAAGUACCUUAAAACAAAAAAAUUCCCUUUAAAGUCCCUACACUUAACCAUUUUCAAGUCAUGUACUAGCAUUUGAAGUCACUACACUUAACUAUUUUCAAUUAACUAAUUCACAUUUUCAAGUCACUAUACUUAACCAUUUUCAAGUCACUAGUACACAUUUCAAGUCACUACACUAACUAUUUUUAAAUAGUUAUUUCAGAAUAGUUCCAAUCAGAUCCCCUAGAUGGAAUUGUUCUUGCUCAAGCUUUUCUAAAUCCCCAAUCAUAUCUCUGUUUCAAUCAACUUAGAACCUGUCUUAUUUUCAAAACUAGAAAUUUAACAUUUUAAAGAAUUUUACCCAUAAAUAUUCC